rnacentral:rRNA from 1 species
CCUACGGGAGGCAGCAGUGAGGAAUAUUGGUCAAUGGGCGCAAGCCUGAACCAGCCAAGUCGCGUGAGGGAUGACGGUCCUAUGGAUUGUAAACCUCUUUUGUCGGGGAGCAAGGCCCGCCACGUGUGGCGGGAAGGAGAGUACCCGAAGAAAAAGCAUCGGCAAACUCCGUGCCAGCAGCCGCGGUAAAACGGAGGAUGCGAGCGUUAUCCGGAUUUAUUGGGUUUAAAGGGUGCGUAGGCGGAAGGUUAAGUCAGCGGUAAAAUGUCGGUGCUCAACACCGGCCUGCCGUUGAAACUGGUCUUCUUGAGUGAGCGAGAAGUAUGCGGAAUGCGUGGUGUAGCGGUGAAAUGCAUAGAUAUCACGCAGAACUCCGAUUGCGAAGGCAGCAUACCGGCGCUCAACUGACGCUGAGGCACGAAAGCGUGGGGAUCGAACAGGAUUAGAUACCCCGGUAGUC